ensembl:lncRNA
UAUACUGCAAAUUCAUCCACCAUGGGCUCCUCAAGGUGGCCUCUGACUUGCUUUGAAUUUGUGCAGGUAAAAGAUUUCACUGCAAGGACCAAAUGAAUGUCACAGAAGACCUCACAAGUACAGAGUGGAAAGAUUUUGUAGGUUCUAGCUAUCAGAUGAACUCCCAUGGGAAAUUCAAACUGAGAAGGUACAACAAGAUCAACAAACAAUGCUGACUUGCAUAAGAACUGGAAAAACCACAGCAAAACCCAUGAAAAAAGGAGAAAGGUUGGAGGACAGCUGCCCUUGCAAAUCCACAAGGGAAAAGAAAGGCAAUCUUUUGGUUCAUUUUUUUGGAAAUUAAAC